rnacentral:lncRNA from 1 species
CCACCUUCUUCUCCGUUUAAACUGAUCAAAAAUACAAGAGAUAAAAAAACUGCUCCUACUUUUGUCUUAGGAAAAAUUAAAAAAACAAUUACUAAAUGAAAAAGUAAAACUCGACAGUUGUGAACUGCUCUAUUAGUCACGUGCUAAUCCAAAUAUUUUGGAUUCCUUUUGGGUACCCUUUAAGAUUUUCUUAUCCUAUCAUCACCCACCCCUGAGACUGGAACCUUGUCCUCAAGGUGAAGAUUAACGAAUUUCUCCUGUAGUUCCUUGGUAUUUUCCCAUGUCGCAUCAUCAGCAGGUAGCCCUUUUCACUUAAUCAAGCUCUCCUCCAUCAAUUUUGAACCUUGGUGGAUCCAACGGUGGUCUAAAAUUGCCUCAGGUUCCAGUAGUAAGUUCCCCUCAUCUGCUACAUGUGGUAACUCAGUGCAAACAGUAGUAUCAUCACCAAUUUUUUUUCUUGAGGAGAGACACAUGAAAGACCGGGUGAAUUCGUGAAGUAGACAGUAGCUUAAGCUUAUAAGCCACUUUGCUGAUUUUCUCUUCUAUAGGAUAGGGCCCAUAAAACCUGCUUGCAAGCUUCUGGUAUGCUCUCUUGAAGACCGACUGUUGACGGUAGGGUUGAAGUUUCAGAAACACCAAAUCUCCCACAUGGAAUUCAAUGUCCCUCCUGUGCGAGUCAGCCUGCUGUUUCAUUCGGUUGACUGAGGCCAGUAAAUUUUCUUUAAGAUGUCGCAAUAUAGCAUCCCUGGAGGCUAAAAUUUUGUCAACUUCAUGUACUGGCAUUUACCGUCCUGGUAGUGCGGAAUCACGGGAGGGGUUCGACCAUAGAAAGUUUCAAAUGGAGUCAUCCCGGUCGAGAUAUGGUACGUAGUAUUAUACCAAAACUCAGCCCAAGAAAGAAAAGAGUGCCACUUGCGGGGUUGCUGGUGAACGAAGCAUCGAAGGUACUGCUCAAGGCAACGAUUGACAACAUCUAACUGGCCGUCGGUUUGAGGAUGGUAAGCCGAACUUAUCUUCAGUAGUGUUCCAGACAACUUGUGGAAGUUUAUUGACAUACUCUGAGUUCAUUAUGGUUUUAUGAUAUUGUUUUAGAUAAUGAUUUUAUUAAUAUAAAAUUGAAAUUUUUGGUAUUAAAUUUUGGGACGUUACAGCGUGGAUAUAAAGAAAAUCGAAAGUAGAGCUUUUAUGAAGAAGUUACAUAAUUUACAAAUCUGUAUUUUUGCACAGAGCGCUAAGCACGCCGAGAGCAGGGCACACACUUCUAGAAGGUGGCAACGCAGACCACAGAGAAGCCGACACAUGAAACUAAACGGAAGGGGAGACGUAGCCUUAAGUGUGUGAUGCACACCUAGAAAGGUGCAAUGCACAUGGUCAAAAUCUGCUUAUAAAAGGGUAGCAACCCCUCAUUCCAUUCAUCACAUUUUUCCAACUUCUCUCUACGAUUCUCUGAGAUUUUAGCCCAAUUUUCCCCUAGAUUUUAGAUGAUUUUAGCGAACACCUGAGUCGUCGAAGAGAUAGAGUGUUUGGGUCGAAGUUCUGUCUGCGAACUACUCGGACUCUUGUCAGAAACCUCUUUAAGUUAAACUACGCUUAUUAUGUUUCAAGUGUAACAUAUAUUUAUGUUCAUAGUCGUUAUUAUGAACUUAUAAAUAAGAUUUAUCAGUGAUUUUAAGUCAUUAUACUAAUUGAUCUUCUUACGGGAAUGAUGCCUAGGUUGAAUUUACUGAGGUGUUUAAAGUGGGAAUUCCAAACGGUAUACUUUGUAUAUCAAACGAACCCUAUCUCCGAUAUGAUCCUACCUAGUUGCUCCAUACUUGAUAUAUAUCGAUGUAGCCAUUGGAAUUAGUGAGGAAUCUAGACUAUCAUUAGUCGCCAAGAAUAUAAGACUAAGAUUUAGUGAUACGAACCUAAGUCACAUCACAGGAAAAGCUAAGUGUUGAAGCAAAGCAUUGCCUAACUUUUUAGUCAUCCACUUUUAACAAGUGAGUGCAUAGUUACUUCCAUCUCUCUCUCUCUUACACACACACACACACACACACACA